GAUGAACGCUGGCGGCGUGCCUAAUACAUGCAAGUCGAGCGAACAGAUAACGAGCUUGCUCCUUUGACGUUAGCGGCGGACGGGUGAGUAACACGUGGGUAACCCCCCUAUAAGACUGGUAUAACUUCGGGAAACCGGAUAUAAUACCGGAUAACAAUUGGAACCGCAUGGUUCUGAAGAGAAUGACGGUGUUGCUAUCACUUACAGAUGGACCCGCGCCGGAUUAGCUAGUUGGUAAGGUAACGGCUUACCAAGGCAACGAUACGCAGCCGACCUGAGAGGGUGAUCGCCCACAUGGGAACUGGGACACCGUCAAUGGUCCUACGGGAGGCAGCAGUAGGGAAUCUUCCGCAAUGGUCGAAAACCUGACGGAGCAGCGCCGCGUGUGUGAUGGAGAGUUUCGGUUCGUAAAACUCUGUUAUUAGUGAAAAACACAUGUCGAAGUAACUGAGCACGAAGUGACGGUACCUAAACAGAAAGCAACGGCUAACUACGUG
rnacentral:rRNA from 1 species